rnacentral:rRNA from 1 species
CCUACGGGAGGCAGCAGUGGGGAAUUUUGGACAAUGGGGGGCAACCCUGAUCCAGCCAUGCCGCGUGAGUGAAGAAGGCCUUCGGGUUGUAAAGCUCUUUCGGCCGGAACGAAAUCGCGCACGUGAAUAACGUGCGUGGAUGACGGUACCGGAGUAAGAAGCACCGGCUAACUACGUGCCAGCAGCCGCGGUAAUACGUAGGGUGCGAGCGUUAAUCGGAAUUACUGGGCGUAAAGCGUGCGCAGGCGGUUCGCUAAGUCAGACGUGAAAGCCCCGGGCUUAACCUGGGAACGGCGUUUGAAACUGGCGGGCUCGAGUACGGCAGAGGGGGGUGGAAUUCCACGUGUAGCAGUGAAAUGCGUAGAUAUGUGGAGGAACACCGAUGGCGAAGGCAGCCCCCUGGGCCGAUACUGACGCUCAUGCACGAAAGCGUGGGGAGCAAACAGGAUUAGAUACCCUGGUAGUCCACGCCCUAAACUAUGUCAACUAGUUGUCGGGGAAGCAAUUCCUUGGUAACGCAGCUAACGCGUGAAGUUGACCGCCUGGGGAUACGGUCGCAAGNUUAAAACUCAAAAUGAAUUGACGG